rnacentral:rRNA from 1 species
CCUACGGGAGGCAGCAGUGGGGAAUAUUGGGCAAUGGGCGCAAGCCUGACCCAGCAAAGCCGCGUGAAGGAAGAAGGCUUUCGGGUUGGAAACUUCUUUUCUGAGGGACGAAGGAAGUGACGGUACCUCAGGAAUAAGCCACGGCUAACUACGGGCCAGCAGCCGCGGUAAUACGUAGGUGGCAAGCGUUAUCCGGAUUUAUUGGGUGUAAAGGGCGUGUAGGCGGGAAAGCAAGUCAGAUGUGAAAACUUAGGGCUCAACCCUGAGCCUGCAUUUGAAACUGUUUUUCUUGAGUGCAGGAGAGGCAAUCGGAAUUCCGGGUGUAGCGGUGAAAUGCGUAGAUAUCCGGAGGAACACCAGUGGCGAAGGCGGAUUGCUGGACAGUAACUGACGCUGAGGCGCGAAAGCGUGGGGAGCAAACAGGAUUAGAUACCCGAGUAGUC